rnacentral:rRNA from 1 species
UACGUAGGGUCCGAGCGUUGUCCGGAAUUAUUGGGCGUAAAGGGCUCGUAGGCGGUGUGUCGCGUCGGCCGUGAAAACCUGCAGCUUAACUGUGGGCUUGCGGUCGAUACGGGCAUCACUGGAGUUCGGCAGGGGAGACUGGAAUUCCUGGUGUAGCGGUGAAAUGCGCAGAUAUCAGGAGGAACACCGGUGGCGAAGGCGCACACCUGGCCCGAUACUGACGCUGAGGCGCGAAAGCUAGGGGAGCAAACGGG